GAGCUGUGGAUAGGGGUGAAAGGCCAAUCAAACUUCGUGAUAGCUGGUUCUCUCCGAAAUGCAUUUAGGUGCAGCGUUGCGUGUUUCUUGCCGGAGGUAGAGCUACUGGAUGGCCGAUGGGCCCUACAAGGUUACUGACGUCAGCCAAACUCCGAAUGCCGGUAAGUGAGAGCGCAGCAGUGAGACUGUGGGGGAUAAGCUUCAUAGUCGAGAGGGAAACAACCCAGACCACCAACUAAGGUCCCAAAGCGCGUGCUAAGUGGGAAAGGAUGUGGAGUUGCUUAGACAACCAGGAGGUUGGCUUAGA
rnacentral:rRNA from 1 species